AGAAUCAACGCUGGCGGCGUGCCUAACACAUGCAAGUCGAACGCGAUUGGGGGCUUCGGCUCCCAGUUGAGUGGCGAACGGGUGAGUAACACGUGGGUGAUCUACCUUUGAGUGGGGGAUAACGUCCCGAAAGGGACGCUAAUACCGCAUGACGUUCUGGGUUUGAAGACCUGGAAACCAAAGCCGGGGACCGCAAGGCCUGGCGCUUGGAGAGGAGCCCGCGUCCGAUUAGCUAGUUGGCGGGUAACGGCCCACCAAGGCGACGAUCGGUA
rnacentral:rRNA from 1 species